GGCGGACGGGUGAGUAACGCGUAAGAACCUGCCCUUGGGAGGGGAACAACAGCUGGAAACGGCUGCUAAUACCCCAUAGGCUGAGGAGCAAAAGGAGGAAUCCGCCCAAGGAGGGGCUCGCGUCUGAUUAGUUAGUUGGUGAGGCAAUGGCUUACCAAGGCGACGAUCAGUAGCUGGUCCGAGAGGAUGAUCAGCCACACUGGGACUGAGACACGGCCCAGACUCCUACGGGAGGCAGCAGUGGGGAAUUUUCCGCAAUGGGCGAAAGCCUGACGGAGCAAUGCCGCGUGAAGGCAGAAGGCCCACGGGUCAUGAACGUCUUUUCUCGGAGAAGAAAAAAUGACGGUAUCUGAGGAAUAGCAUCGGCUAACUCUGUGCCAGCAGCCGCGGUAAGACAGAGGAUGCAAGCGUUAUCCGGAAUGAUUGGGCGUAAAGCGUCUGUAGGUGGCUUUUCAGUCCGCCGUCAAUCCCAGGGCUCAACCCUGGACAGGCGGUGGAUACUACCAAGCUGGAGUACGGUAGGGGCAGAGGGAAUUUCCAGUGGAGCGGUGAAUGCGUUGAGAUCGGAAGAACACAACGGCGAAAGACUCUGCUGGGCCGACCUGACACUGAUAGACCAAGCUAGGGGAGCAAUGGGAUUAAUACCCAGUAGCCUACCGUAACGAUGGAACUAAUGCUGUGCGUAUCGACCCUCCAGUGCUGUUCUAACCGUUAGUAUCCCCCUGGGAGUACUUCGCACAAUGAACUCAAUGAUUGACGGGA
rnacentral:rRNA from 1 species